rnacentral:rRNA from 1 species
AUUGAACGCUGGCGGCAUGCUUUACACAUGCAAGUCGAACGGUAACAGGCCUUCGGGUGCUGACGAGUGGCGAACGGGUGAGUAAUGCAUCGGAACGUGCCCAGAGGUGGGGGAUAACGCAGCGAAAGCUGUGCUAAUACCGCAUGUGAUCUGAGGAUGAAAGCGGGGGACCAGGCAGCAAUGUUUGGCCUCGCGCCUUUGGAGCGGCCGAUGUCAGAUUAGGUAGUUGGUGGGGUAAAGGCCUACCAAGCCGACGAUCUGUAGCUGGUCUGAGAGGACGACCAGCCACACUGGGACUGAGACACGGCCCAGACUCGUACGGGAGGCAGCAGUGGGGAAUUUUGGACAAUGGGCGCAAGCCUGAUCCAGCAAUGCCGCGUGCGGGAAGAAGGCCUUCGGGUUGUAAAUCGCUUUUGUACGGAACGAAAAGGCUCUGGCUAAUACCUGGGGCUGAUGACGGUACCGUAAGAAUAAGCACCGGCUAACUACGUG